rnacentral:rRNA from 1 species
GUGCCAGCAGCUGCGGUAAUACGUAGGGUGCAAGCGUUAAUCGGAAUUACUGGGCGUAAAGCGUGCGCAGGCGGUUCGGAAAGAAAGAUGUGAAAUCCCCAGGGCUUAACCUUGGAACUGCAUUUUUAACUACCGGGCUAGAGUGUGUCAGAGGGAGGUGGAAUUCCGCGUGUAGCAGUGAAAUGCGUAGAUAUGCGGAGGAACACCGAUGGCGAAGGCAGCCUCCUGGGAUAACACUGACGCUCAUGCACGAAAGCGUGGGGAGCAAACAGGAUUAGAUACCCUGGUAGUCCACGCCCUAAACGAUGUCAACUAGCUGUUGGGCCUUCGGGCCUUGGUAGCGCAGCUAACGCGUGAAGUUGACCGCCUGGGGAGUACGGUCGCAAGAUU